rnacentral:rRNA from 1 species
AUUGAACGCUGGCGGCAUGCCUAACACAUGCAAGUCGAACGAGUGGCGGACGGGUGAGUAAUAUAUGGGAACCUGCCCGGUAGAGGGGGAUAACUACUGGAAAGAGUGGCUAAUACCGCAUACCAUCGGAUGUGCCCAUAUGGGAUUAGCUAGUUGGUGGGGUAAAGGCUCACCGAGGCGACGAUCCCUAGCUGGUUUGAGAGGAUGACCAGCCACACUGGAACUGAGACACGGCCCAGACUCCUACGGGAGGCAGCAGUGGGGAAUAUUGCACAAUGGGGGAAAGCCUGAUGCAGCCAUGCCGCGUGUAUGAUGAAGGCCUUCGGGUUGUAAAGUACUUUCAGCGGGGAGGCGGUAUCCGCAGAAGAAGCACCGGCUAACUCCGUGCCAGCAGCCGCGGUAAUUC